rnacentral:rRNA from 1 species
CAGAAACUCAAAGGAAUUGACGGGGCCCGCACAAGCGGUGGAGUAUGUGGUUUAAUUCGAUGCAACGCGAAGAACCUUACCUGGUCUUGACAUCCCGGAGACCCUUAGGAAACUAGGGGUGCUUCCAUCUGGAAGAAUCUGGAGACAGGUGCUGCAUGGCUGUCGUCAGCUCGUGUCGUGAGAUGUUGGGUUAAGUCCCGCAACGAGCGCAACCCUUGCCUUUAGUUGCCAGCAGUUCGGCUGGGCACUCUAAAGGGACUGCCGGUGUUAAACCGGAGGAAGGUGGGGAUGACGUCAAGUCCUCAUGGCCUUUAUGACCAGGGCUACACACGUACUACAAUGGCCGAUACAAAGGGCAGCGACACUGCGAGGUGAAGCCAAUCCCGUAAAAUCGGUCUCAGUCCGGAUUGGAGUCUGCAACUCGACUCCAUGAAGUUGGAAUCGCUAGUAAUCGUGGAUCAGCAUGCCACGGUGAAUACGUUCCCGGGCCUU